rnacentral:misc_RNA from 1 species
UCAAACUUGGUCAUUUAGAGGAAGUAAAAGUCGUAACAAGGUUUCCGUAGGUAAGUAGAAGUUUUCAACCUUACACUUUUAUGCUUGAAUAAUGUGCUGACUUUUUUCUUUUAGGUGAACCUGCGGAAGGAUCAUUACAGAGUGUUUAUCCCCCCAUAAAAAGGGGGUGUAACCUCCCGUCCUUUGCUUGGUCCCCCUUCUGGGAGGACUUUAAAACCUUCUGCUUCGGCGGGGUUACCCGCCGGAACAUCCUCAAAAUUCUUUGGUCAAAACCUUUCUGUCCGAGAAACUUGAGAAAUUAUUGAAAACUUUCAACAACGGAUCUCUUGGUUCUGGCAUCGAUGAAGAACGCAGC